GCUCUGUUAGCUCAGGGGGAGAGCACUAGUCUUACAAACUAGAUGUCAUUGGUUCAAAUCCAAUACAGAGCA
rnacentral:tRNA from 2 species